rnacentral:rRNA from 1 species
UACCAGCACCCCGAGUGGUCGGGACGAUUAUUGGGCCUAAAGCAUCCGUAGCCGGCCUUACAAGUCCUCCGUUAAAUCCAGCUGCUUAACAGAUGGGCUGCGGAGGAUACUAUAAGACUAGGAGGCAGGAGAGGCAAGCGGUACUCAGUGGGUAGGGGUAAAAUCCGUUGAUCCAUUGAAGACCACCAGUGGCGAUGGCGGCUUGCCAGAAUGCGCUCGACGGUGAGGGAUGAAAGCUGGGGGAGCAAACCGG